rnacentral:rRNA from 1 species
AAAGUCCCCUUCGGGGGAUAAGUAGAGUGGCGUCCGGGUGAGUAACACGUAGGUAAUCUACCUUUGGGUGGGGAAUAACGCAGGGAAACUUGCGCUAAUACCGCAUAAUGCAGCGGCACCACAUGGUGACAGUUGUUAAAGCGGGGGAUUUUCGAACCUCGCGCCUAAAGAGGAGCCUGCGGCAGAUUAGCUAGUUGGUAGGGUAACGGCUUACCAAGGCGACGAUCUGUAGCCGGCCUGAGAGGGCGGUCGGCCACACUGACACUGACAUACGGGUCAGACUCCUACGGGAGGCAGCAGUCGGGAAUUUUGGGCAAUGGGCGAAAGCCUGACCCAGCAACGCCGCGUGAAGGAUGAAAUCCUUCGGGAUGUAAACUUCGCAAGAAUGGGAAGAAUUAGUAGGGGUUAAUACCCUCUAUGAUGACGGUACCAUUUGUAAGCUCCGGCUAACUCCGUGCCAGCAGCCGCGGUAAUACGGGGGGAGCAAGCGUUGUUCGGAUUUACUGGGCGUAAAGGGCGCGUAGGCGGUCAGCACAAGUCAGUUGUGAAAUCUCCGGGCUUAACUCGGAAAGGUCAACUGAUACUGUGCGACUAGAGUGCAGAAGGGGCAACUGGAAUUCUCGGUGUAGCGGUGAAAUGCGUAGAUAUCGAGAGGAACACCUGCGGCGAAGGCGGGUUGCUGGGCUGACACUGACGCUGAUGCGCGAAAGCCAGGGGAGCGAACGGGAUUAGAUACCCCGGUAGUCCUGGCCUUAAACGAUGGAUGCUUGGUGUCUGGAGUUUUAUAGUCUCCGGGUGCCGUAGCUAACGCGUUAAGCAUCCCGCCUGGGGAGUACGGUCGCAAGACUG